GUCCAGACUCCUACGGGAGGCAGCAGUGGGGAAUAUUGCACAAUGGGGGAAACCCUGAUGCAGCGACGCCGCGUGAGCGAUGAAGUAUUUCGGUAUGUAAAGCUCUAUCAGCAGGGAAGAAGAUGACGGUACCUGACUAAGAAGCCCCGGCUAACUACGUGCCAGCAGCCGCGGUAAUACGUAGGGGGCAAGCGUUAUCCGGAUUUACUGGGUGUAAAGGGAGCGUAGACGGCGAUGCAAGCCAGAUGUGAAAGCCCGGGGCUCAACCCCGGGACUGCAUUUGGAACUGUGUGGCUGGAGUGUCGGAGAGGCAGGCGGAAUUCCUAGUGUAGCGGUGAAAUGCGUAGAUAUUAGGAGGAACACCAGUGGCGAAGGCGGCCUGCUGGACGAUGACUGACGUUGAGGCUCGAAAGCGUGGGGAGCAAACAGGAUUAGAUACCCUAGUAUGG
rnacentral:rRNA from 1 species